rnacentral:lncRNA from 1 species
GAGGGGUGAUGCUGAAGACCGAACCUGUGAGGUCACUGACAAAGCAACAACUACAGGUGUGUGUGGGUGUGUGUGGGUGUGUAUGGCUUUCUAUGUUUGUCAUUAUAUGUGUGGAAUGGUGUUUUUGUGUGUGUGUGUGUGUGUAUGUGUGCGUGCGUGCGUGCGUGCGUUUGUGUGAGUGAAUAAGAGAGAGAAAGGGUGUGUGUGUGUGUGUGUGUGUGUGUGUGUGUGUGUGUGUGUGUGUGUGUGUGUGUGUGUGUGUGUGUGUGUGUGUAUGUGUAUGUGUAUGUGUAUGUGUAUGUGUGUGUGUAUGUGUGUGUGUGUGUUUGUGUGGGUAUGUGUGUUUGUUUGGGCUUGUGUGCCUGUGUUCAGUUUGGGAUUUGUGUGCGUACCAUGCACACACUGAUACUGUGUAUGCACCUUGUGCAUAAGUCUGACUCUGGAUCUUUUACAGUUUCAGAAGACCGAAUCCCACAAAAAGCAGAGACGGCUGGCAGAAAGAAAACGGACACCACGGAGACACUCCAAGAGGACGACCUUCUGAUUGACAGCGUGCGAAGCAGACGCAAGGCCGCGCGACUGUCUCGCGUGAAAGAUUUGCUGCGUGAGCGCAGUCCACUGCAGAACUCACAUGCCCCCGCUGGUCCUCAUCAGAACCAUCACCACCCCACACCCGUUCUGGGAGCAACCUCAGACGGUUCCACCGUGGUUCCUCCUCGCCAGAAACUGGCCGCCGAGGGCCCCAAGGCCUUACCCACUUACCACCAGAUACCUCUGCUGACACUGGACUGGACGAGCGACAACCCACAGGUCUGGCCUACCAACGAGAUGGAGGAACUCUGGAGCGGCGUAAAGACCCAGAACGUUGAGUCAAAACCCUCAACGGAAGGGGGAACACCGUCCAAAGGUGAUCCGAAGAAGGCCUUCAUCGAUGCCAAAGUCGAAUGUGGCGUCGGGGAAGGUACGCCGUCCGUGUGUGACAUUUGGCAGAGCUUCAUCGACGGCGGCGAUCACAGCGAUCACUCCGGCGUUCCGGAAUCCGCGUGGUUGCAGAAGGCCACGUCGAUGUCCCCCUCGGAACAGCGAGUGGUGGACCCCGGAACGCCGAGCACACCGGCUGCACCCCAGUCACCUCAAACGCCCCCGGACAUGCCCCACCGUACAACGACACCCUCCACCAUCUCCAAGGGGCUGCCGGUGUCGGUGUCACGCGCUGACGGUCCGGCCCGGCACGCCAACUCCCAGGAGAGGCAGCCAGCAGCGCGGGCGUGGGUCGGAUCUCAUGACAUGACACUGAGGCCAGAGGGGAGCUCCGUGACAGAAACUCCUGAGGAAGAGGUGCCAAGCAGGGCAGGAACAGCCUCCACAACAGCUGAGGACGACAACGAAGGCUCAGAGGAUGGCUUAGGGACUCGGCAGCCCGAGCAUGUCGCGCCGGACACGGGAGGCACCGAAGGCGUAAGAGAACAAAAAGGAGGAGGAGGAGGAGGAGGAGGAGGAGGAGGAGGAGGAGAUGGAGGAGUGAGAGAGCCGCUCAGAGACUCUACGGGCGACAGGAUAACGAGCUCUGGGGAGAGGGGGACAACAGAGAUGACAGUGGCGGCGGUGUCUCAGAAUGCCAGCGCCUGUGAUAGGAUCUCACGGGGAGCGGUGCCCGGCGAGGGUCUUUCUCAAAGCGGUGGGGAAGGGGAGGAAGAACAAGGGGUUAGCGGUAUCGUACGCAACUCGGGAUACGACGCGCUGGCAUUUAGGGAGGCAUUCAAAGGACAGGGGACAAAGGGCCGCACGGGUUCGGUGUUGUCCCCAUUCAGACGAGGAGGAAGCGCAGGAGGAGGGAGUGGUGGAGAAGGAGGAGGUGAUGGAGGAGGAGGUGGAGGAGGAGAGGAGGAAGUGAGGCUCACAAUGCCUGACGCAGAAGGAAAAGGAUAUACAGGGGAGGAGAUAUUUAGGCCACGGGACACAGUGAAUACUGAACGCUCCCAGAGGGAAGCAGGUGAUAAGGAUUGUGAGGGAUUCAGGCCAAAUAAAGAGAGCGGAACGGCAUUGAAACACAAAGGAACACAGCAUGGAGAAGCAGCGCCGCACACGGAUGCAUUUGAGGUGGAUGAGUCGAGAGCGUGUGAUACAAAAUCAACACAAAGCCACGUGAAUGCGAAGCCUUUAGACCAUGACAUGUCAGCACACUGUGACACCAGAACAAACGGCACGUUCCACCGAAAAGAGGAAAAGGUGGUCGGUGUACAACAUGGAACGAGUAACGACGGUGCUUUGAGGCAUAAGUGUGUUGAAGUGGAUCUCAACCAAGAGGUUAAAGAAGAUUCACCGCCAAACAAUGAAAACUCUCUCCAAGCAGACUCAUUUGAAACAGAUCUGGGGAUGGAAGCCAAGGACCUCACAUUGUUGUAUUCACCUGACCACCGGUUAGACCCGAUUACACAAGAUAAAGAGCAACGCAUUCAGGGUGAGAACCCAGGCAUGGAGGUGUUGACCAAGGACCUGAUCUCCACUGAACCAGAGCUAUCAACCUCAAGUAGAACAGAGGACCGAGUUAGCGAGAAUAACGACACAAAACUAUCGCCCCUCAAACAGGAGUCGUGUGGGUUAAUAGACACAGAUAACACACUGAUAAAAUACACAUCAGUGCAAACACAGCCAGAGGUUUUGAGCGACAAACCAUCAUUAAAAGGUCUUGAAGAUGAAACAGGUACAGGAAGAGACGUUGGGGACGGCGAAGGAAUCAAACAGUUUCAGACGGACGAUCACAGAACCGGCCUCUCACACGCAUCAAAACACAAAGGAACACACCAUGGAGAAGCAGCUCCGCACACAGAUGCAUUUGAGGUGGAUGAGUCGAGAGCGUGUGAUACAAAAUCAACACGAAGCCACGUGAAUGCGAGGCCUUUAGACCAUGACAUGUCAGCACACUGUGACACCAGAACAGAGGACACGUUCCAAAGAAGAGAUAGAAAGGUGGAUGGUGUACUAAAUGGAACGAGUAACGACGGUGCUUUGAGGCAUAAGUGUGUUGAAGUGGAUCUCAACCAAGAGGUCAAAGAAGAUUCACCGCCAAACAAUGAAAACUCUCUCCAACCAGGCUCAUUUGAAACAGAUCUGGGGAUGGAAGCCAAGGACCUCACAUUGUUGUAUUCACAACCACCUGACCACCGGUUAGAACCGAUUACGCAAGAUAAAGAGCGACGCAUGCAGAGUGAGAACCCAGGCAUGGAGGCGUGGACCAAGGACCUGAUCUCCACUGAACUGAGGCCAUCAACCUCAAGUCCAACAGAGGAAGGAGCUAGAGAGAACAACAACGCAAAACUCUCGCCCCUCAAACAGGAAUCGUGUGACACAAAAUCUACACAAAGCCACGUGAAUGCGAAUGACAUGUCAUUGCUCUGUGACACCACAGCAGAGGACAAGUUCCAGAGAAAAGGGAGAAAGGUGGACGGUUUACAACAUGGAACGAGUAACGACGGUGCUUUGAGGCAGAAGUGUGUUGAAGCGGAUCGCAACCAAGAGGUCAAAGAAGGAAGCGAUUCACUGCCAAACAAUGGAAACUCUCUCCAACCAGACUCAUUGGAAGCAGAUCAGAUGGAAGUGAAGUACCACACGUUGAUGUAUUCAGAAGCACCAGAAUACCGGUUAGACCCGAUGGAGAAAGAUAAAGAGCCACAAGUUCAGAGUGAGGUGAAGAACCCAGUUCAGGAGGUGAUGACCAAGGAUCCGACCUCCGGUGAACCAGGGUCAUUAAGGUCAAGUCCAACAGAGGAAGGGGCUAGAGAGAACAGCGACGCAAAACUAUCAGCCCUCAAACAGGAGUCGGGUCGAGUGAUGGACACAGAUAACAUACAGAUGAAAUACACACCAGUGCAAAUGCAAGGAGAGGUUUCUGGCGACAUCCCUACGUUAAAAGGUCUUCAAGUUGACAAAGCUCCAAAAAGAGAUGAGGGGGAAGGCCUAGAAAUCAAACUGGUUCAAACUGGUUCAAAGUGUUUCAAAGAAGGAAGAGAUUCACGGCCAAACAAUGAAAACCCUCUCCUACCAGACUCAUUGGAAGCAGAUCUGGGGAAGGAAGCCAAGGACCUCACAUUGAUGUAUUCAGAAGCACCUGACCACCGGUUGAACCCGAUUACGCAAGAUAAAGAGCAACGCAUUCAGGCAGAGAACCCAGGCAUGGAGGUGUUGACCAAGGACCUGAUCUCCAUUGAACCAGAGCUAUCAACCUCAAGUCCAACAGAGGAAGGAUCUAGCGAGAAUAACAAAGCAGAACUAUCGCCCCUCAAACAAGAGUCGGUUGGAGUAAUAGACACAGAUAACACACUGAUAAAACACACAUCAGUGCAAACGCAAGGAGUGGUUCUGAGCGACAUCCGUUCAUUUAAAGGUCUUGAAAGUGAACUGGCUGCGAGAAGAGAUGAGGGGAAAGGAGAAGAAAUGAAAUUAUUUCCAAUGGAAGAUUACAAACACGGCCCCUCGCACGAUUUAAAACACAAAAUAGCACAUGUUGGAGAAGUAGCGCCACACACAGAUGCAUUUGAGGUGGAUGAGUCGAGAGCGCGUGAUACAAAAUCAACACAAAGCCACGUGAAUGCGAAGCCUUCAGACCAUGACAUGUCAGCACUCUGUGACACCACAGCAGAGGACACGUUCCAGAGAGAAGAGCGGAAGGUGGACGGUGUACAACAUGGAACGAGUAACGACGGUGUUUUGAGGCAGAAGUCUGUCGAAGUGGAUCUUAACCAAGAGGUUAAAGAAGGAAGAGAUUCACGGCCAAACCAUGAAAACUCUCUACAACCAGACUCAUUGGAAACAGAUCUGGGGAAGGAAACCAAGGACCUCACGUUGCUGUAUUCAGAAGCACCUGACCGCCAGUUAGAACCGAUGGCACAAGAUAAAGAGCCACACGUUCAGAGCAAGAACCCAGGCAUGGAGGUGUUGACCAAGGACCUGAUCUCCACUGAAAUGAGGCCAUCAACCUCAAGUCCAACAGAGGGAGGAGCUAGCAAGAAUUACGACGCAAAACUAUUGCCCCUCAAACAGGAGUCGUGUGUAGUAAAGGACACAGAUAACAUACAGAUAAAAUGCACAUCAGUGCAAACACAAGGAGAGGUUUCUAGCGACAUCCCUUCAUUAAAAGAUCUUGAAGUUGAGACGGCUACAAAAAGAGAUGAGGGGGAAGGCCUGGAAAUCAAACUCUUUCAAACUGGUUCAAAGUGUCUCAAAGAAGGAAGAGAUUCACCGCGAAACAAUGGAAACUCUCUCCUACCAGACUCAUUUGAAACAGAUUUGAUGGAAGCGAAGUACCACACGUUGAUGUAUUCAGAAGCACCUGACCUCCGGUUGGACCCGAAAGAGAAAGAGCCACAAGUUCAGAGUGAGGUGAAGAACUCAGUUCAGGAGGUGAUGACCAAGGAUCCAACCUCCAGUGAACCGGGGUCAUUAACGCCACGUCGAACAGAGGAAGGAGCUAGAGAGAACAGCGACGCAAAACUAUCAGCCCUCAAACAGGAGUUGGGUCGAGUGAUGGACACGGAUAACAUACAGAUAAAAUACACACCAGCGCAAAUGCAAGGAGAGGUUUUGAGCGACAAGCCCUCAUUAAAUGGUCUUGAAGUUGAAACGGCGACAAAGAAAUAUGAGGGGGAAGGCCUAAAAAUCAAGCUCGUUCAGACGGACGAUCAUAAACCCGGCCCCUCAUACACAUUAAAAACCAAAGGAACGUAUCAUGGAGAAGCAGCGCCAUGCACAGAUGCAUUUGAGGUGGAUGAGUCGAGAGCGCAUGAUAUAAAAUCAACACAAAGCAAAGUGAAUGCGAAGCCUUUACACCAUGACAUGUCAGCACUCUGUGACACCAGAACAAACGGCACGUUCCACCGAAUAGAAAGGAAGGUGGACGGUGUACAACAUGGAAUAAGUAACGACGGUGCUUUGGGACUGAAGUGUGUUGAAGUGGAUCUCAACCAAGAGGUUAAAGAAGAUUCACCGCCAAACAAUGAAAACUCUCUCCAAGCAGACUCAUUUGAAACAGAUCUGGGGAUGGAAGCCAAGGACCUCACAUUGUUGUAUUCACAACCACCUGACCACCGGUUAGACCCGAUUACACAAGAUAAAGAGCAACGCAUUCAGGGUGAGAACCCAGGCAUGGAGGUGUUGACCAAGGACCUGAUCUCCACUGAACUGAGGCUAUCAACCUCAAGUAGAACAGAGGACCGAGCUAGCAAGAAUAACGACACAAAACUAUCGCCCCUCAAACAGGAGUCGUGUGGGGUAAUAGACACAGAUAACACACUGAUAAAAUACACAUCAGUGCAAACACAGCCAGAGGUUUUGAGCGACAAGCCCUCAUUAAAAGGACUUGAAGAUGAAACAGGUACAGGAAGAGACGUUGGGGAUGGCGAAGGAAUCAAACAGUUUCAGACGGACGAUCACAGAACCGGGUCCUCACACGCAUCAAAACACAAAGGAACACAUCAUGGAGAAGCAGCGCCGCACACGGAUGCAUUUGAGGUGGAUGAGUCGAGAGCGUGUUAUACAAAAUCAACACAAAGCCACGUGAAUGCGAAUGACAUGUCAUCGCUCUGUGACACCACAGCAGAGGACACGUUCCAGAGAAAAGGGAGAAAGGUGGACGGUGUACAACAUGGAACGAGUAACGACGGUGCUUUGAGGCAGAAGUGUGUUGAAGCGGAUCGCAACCAAGAAGUCAAAGAAGGAAGAGAUUCACUGCCAAACAAUGGAAACUCUCUCCAACCAGACUCAUUGGAAACAGAUCUGGGGAAGGAAACCAAGGACCUCACGUUGAUGUAUUCAGAAGCACCUGACCACCGGUUAGAACCGAUGGCACAAGAUAAAGAGCAACACAUUCAGAGUGAGAACCCAGGCAUGGAGGUGUUGACCAAGGACCUGAUCUCCAUUGAACCGGGGCUAUCAACCUCAAGUCCAACAGAGGAAGGAGCUACAGAGAAUAACGACACAAAACUAUCGCCCCUCAAAAAGGAAUCGUGUGGGGUAAUAGACACAGAUAACACACUGAUAAAAUACACAUCAGUGCAAACACAAGGAGAGGUUUCUAGCGACAUCCCUUCAUUAAAAGGUCUUGAAGUUGACACGGCUACAAAAAGAGAUGAGGGGGAGGGCCUACAAAUCAAACUGUUUCAAUCUGUUUCAAACUGUUCCAAAGAAGGAAGAGAUUCACUGCCAAACAAUGAAAACUCUCUCCUGCCAGACUCAUUGGAAACAGAUCUGGGGAAGGAAACCAAGGACCUCACGUUGAUGUAUUCAGAAGCACCUGACCACCAGUUAGACCCGAUUGCGCAAGAUAAAGAGCAACACAUUCAGAGUGAGAACCCAGGCAUGGAGGUGUUGACCAAGGACCUAAUAUCCACUGAACCGGGGCUAUCGACCUCAAGUCCAACAGAGGAAGGAGCUAGGGAGAAAAACGAAAUUAAACUAUCGCCCCUGAGACAGGAGUCUGUUGGAGUAAUGGACACAGAUAGCACACGGAUAAAAUGCACAUCAGCGGAAACACAAGGAGUUGUUCUGAGUUACAAGCCUUCAUUAAAAGGUCUUGAAGGUGAAACUGGUACGAGAAGAGACGAUCACCAACCCAGACACUCAAACGCAACAGACUCAAAGUGUAAGAAAUUGGCUGAUAUAUAUCUAAAGUGCGAGGAAAGGGACAAUCGCGCGGUCGGUGGCAUCACACCACCCGAUGACAUUUUCCAGGAGACGCCGGCGACGACGAGUGGCGUUCCGAGGGAUCCUCGACCACCACCUGAGACCUCGGAAGUUGACGUGGGGGACGGAGAUGGGGAGCGAGGGACGGAAGAGGGGCAAACAGAGGCUAUCACGGAGGGGUGUCGGACAGAGAAGGAUCAAACACCUGAGGAACGGAAGCGACGAAAGGUGUCGCUCCGAGCGGAUGGCCCUUCACCAGAGGAAUUCAAGGGGGGGAUGGAAGACGCUGUAAUCGCAGAGGAUAGAGUGUCGUUUGAGUGCAUGAUAGCGCCAGGUGAGGAGAUUGGCACUGUCGCAGGUGGAAUUGGUGAGGAGUCAGAUAAAGGAGUUUCAGAGGAGGUGUUAAAUUGGAAAGGUGUCAUGGGUGGCUCAGGAGACAUGAAGGGAGUAAGUGGUGGCGCAUCGCAAGCCGUCACGGCGGAGAAACAGAUCCCUGAUGUCUUUUCCGCCACGAAUUUGCCAGAAGAUUCCCAAUUGCAGACAACUUCCUCUCAAGGCAUCAUGCAAGAUUUGGUGACUGACGAGGAUAGUUGUGACCUUGUUAACAUCGUAGACACAGUUGGUUUCAAUGAAUCACAGAGAGAUCUCAAUUCACAGGAUUAUUCCAAGCAACACCUUCACCAAAUAGCCAUCAAAGAAAAUAAUGAACCCCACAUGACACAGAGUCGACUGCCCGCAGCCAAAACAACACAUGUUUCCCAGUCCUCUGAUCCAACUCUGAACUUUAUGCCGAAGGACGAUGGAUUAAUCACUGAACAGCGUGUAUCACCACGGUUACGUCAGACCCAACAGCGCUCCAUGAAGAAGAAUCUGGAAACCGUCAAGAAGGACGGGGCAGACUCUGACCAGGAGCCAUGUCACCAAUUAGACGAUCAAACAGUUUUGCAGCCAAAAAAGUUCAACCAAUCAACAGCUCAAUUUGAGGACCGAGUCAAUUCUUCCCCGCAGAAGAGAUGGUGUACCGCCUUUCGCGGCCCACGUGUGACAAUAACUUUGGUUGGUGCCAUUCUGUUCACAUUAUUCUUCCUUUAUGGGCCGCAUUUGGCUUAGCAGACAUAGUGGGUUGACUUGUAACCGGAAGGUUGCCAGUUCGAUUCCCUAGUCCCUCCUAGCUGAGCGUUGAGGUGUCCCUGAGCAAGACACCUCACCCUGACCGCACCCGAUGAGCUGGCUGUCUCCUUGUCUGGCUGACUCCGCCAUCGGUGGAUGAAUGUGUGCAUGAAUGGGUGAAUGUUAGGCGAUAUUGUAAAGCGCUUUGAGUGGCCACCGGUUGAAAAGCCCUCUAUGAAUGCAGUCCAUUCAUCAUUUAUGGUUUCCAAAAAUGCGCUGCUCUGUAUAUACUUUCCUUGUGCUUAUUUUUAUUUGUGCUUAUUGUUUUCAGUGGAGGAGGCAGGAUGCAUUGGUUGAAAGGGAAUGUGUGACAGACUUAGGAGUGUCUGUUUCUUUGUGUGUGUGGCAUGUUAGAUUCACUGUUCACUUUAACCUGCACAGAGUAUAUUUUGUUGUUGACAGAUGAUUGUGCCAUUUUUUUAUUUCAAUGAAACCGUUUGAAAGAAAAUUUCCACAGGUCUUUAUACAGGGGUUUCAAAAGUCUCAGUGCACGUUUUGCCUUGCUCAAAGUUUGUUCUAUAAAACUGGGUGGUCACAAGUAGUUAUCUUGCACAUGUAAAUCAACUGUAUACAAUCCAUAGGCAUUGUAUGCAAUGCGAUUAUUUUUAGGUUGCGGCAGAUGUAUGCACGAGUGAAUUGGUUUUCGUUCAGUGAGAACUAGCUGAGCAUUACGAAAACAUAUUGAUAACCAUUUCAUGUUGAGUAUUUGUUUUUGAUGUUGUGAUACAUGUAUGAUAGGUUUCCUUUUACGCGUCGAACGUUUGCGAGUUCUCUUAGUGAUGUUGUGAAAGCAAAGUUAAGUAGUGUGUUAUGAAAGUGCGUUAUGUAUUUGUUAUGGGUCCAAUAUAACAUCUGGUAUACAUAACUCACCAAAAGGGAAAAGUGGCAAUGUAAUAUAUUUAGAUAAUGGUGUUUUUUGGUGCUGUUCUGGCUUUUCCUUUAUUAAAUGAGCACAACUCUCACAGACUGCAGGCACUUGUUUCUCGUCUCAAUGGCAGCUUACAACAAAAACAAUGGAAAUUUUGAUACUUUCCCACUGUUACUAAAUGACAGAGAUACAGAUAUUGACGCAAUCAAUC